GACGAACGCUGGCGGCGUGCCUAACACAUGCAAGUCGAACGGGGUGUUCCUUCGGGGACACUUAGUGGCGAACGGGUGAGUAACGCGUGAGAAACCUGCCUUUCAGUGGGGGACAACAGUUGGAAACGACUGCUAAUACCGCAUAAUGUUUCGAGAGGGCAUCCUUUUGAAACCAAAGCUUUAUGUGCUGAAAGAUGGUCUCGCGUCUGAUUAGCUAGUUGGUGAGGUAACGGCUCACCAAGGCGACGAUCAGUAGCCGGUCUGAGAGGAUGAACGGCCACAUUGGGACUGAGAUACGGCCCAGACUCCUACGGGAGGCAGCAGUGGGGAAUAUUGGGCAAUGGGGGAAACCCUGACCCAGCAACGCCGCGUGAAGGAAGAAGGCCUUCGGGUUGGUAAACUUCUUUUAGUAGGGACGAAGAAAGUAGACGGUACCUACAGAAAAAGACAACGGCUAACUACGUAG
rnacentral:rRNA from 1 species